rnacentral:rRNA from 1 species
GACGAACGCUGGCGGCGUGCUUAACACAUGCAAGUCGAACGGAAAGGCCCUGCUUUUGUGGGGUGCUCGAGUGGCGAACGGGUGAGUAACACGUGAGUAACCUGCCCUUGACUUUGGGAUAACUUCAGGAAACUGGGGCUAAUACCGGAUAGGAGCUCCUGCUGCAUGGUGGGGGUUGGAAAGUUUCGGCGGUUGGGGAUGGACUCGCGGCUUAUCAGCUUGUUGGCGGGGUAGUGGCUUACCAAGGCUUUGACGGGUAGCCGGCCUGAGAGGGUGACCGGCCACAUUGGGACUGAGAUACGGCCCAGACUCCUACGGGAGGCAGCAGUGGGGAAUAUUGCACAAUAGGCGGAAGCCUGAUGCAGCAACGCCGCGUGCGGGAUGACGGCCUUCGGGUUGUAAACCGCUUUCGCCUGUGACGAAGCGUGAGUGACGGUAAUGGGUAAAGAAGCACCGGCUAACUACGUG